UCAUCCACCUAAGAGAGAAAACCUAUUGGAGAAAACAAUGAACUACUUUCCAGAGAGAUUGGACUUCUUACACGGUACCAUGGCUCUGUGAUCAUUUUGAAACAGAAGAAUUUAAGGUAUAGUAGUCUUGGAGUGGGUUUCAGCAGUUCUGCAUUUAUCUUUAUCACUCAACCCUGCCUUAUUUGUUCACAUAAAAUUACCAUAUGCAUAAACGGUCCACAAUUGGAAAGGCUAACCGCUCAAACCUACCUUAUGUUCACAUGAAGGGAACAAAGUCAUUUGUAGCUGUUCAACAUGAAUUAAAUUGUGUCAAUAUCAGACUGUACAAGGAGUGUUACUCUAGUGAUAAGAAGGGAUGGGCAUCAGAAGAUGCCAGGAAUAAACAUG